UUUACGGUUCCGGUGAAAUUUUGUUACCAAAAAUUUUGAAGUAAUGCCGACAAAAUGUAGCAAUCAUUUCCCGCAGUGCGUUUCCUAUCAAUAAAUGCUAUAAAUCUUACGAAACAACAGCCGUAGCUCCUCUCUCGCACACUUCGGAUACAACUCCGACAACUCCAAAUCCAUCCUGCUUACGCGAACAGCAGCCCGAAAGCAAUCAAGACAAUGGAACUAUAGCACAGUCAUAGUGGCUGAACAGAAGUUGGUGGUCGGUCGACGAGUCAAAGUCUCAUGCAAGAAAGUUUAUAAAAAGUGCAUGCUAGUUUGCAAAUAUAUUCGUUAUGCAUAUUGGCGAAUCUCCAGAAGGUAAAAGGGAAAAGACACUAAAGUAUGUUCAGUUCAGAACUAAUUCCUUCUCAUACAUUAAAGUGACGAAUGCGCCACGUGCAAGACAACUCUCGGUGCCAGUUGUACCCCACGGAUUCUACACUGCACGAUACUUUGCAUGAUUGAGCAGACUGACCAGACCAGACCGAAAAUACCGACCGGGACAUUACCAGGCAUCGCAACCACCCGCCACAUGUUCGAUUGCCUCAGAACAAUAGGUAACCAUGUUCAAUUAAUGGUCCCACUUUGGCUAGGGUUCAUAAAAUGUGCUUUCAGUUCCACUCGCCAUUGAACGAUCAGGAUUUACGGAAGCUCAAUAAUCUGAAGCUGGGAAAAGGCCCUUCACCAGAGAGGGCCUUUUGUCCAUUGCCUAAAGACUGUGCCGCCGAUCACAACCGGCUAGCACACAGCGACACCGUCUCGGAUAGUCCAAUCCAGCC